CCUACGGGUGACAGCAGUGAGGAAUAUUGGUCAAUGGGCGCGAGCCUGAACCAGCCAAGUCGCGUGAGGGAAGACGGCCCUACGGGUUGUAAACCUCUUUUGCCGGGGAGCAACGGGCGCCACGUGUGGCGCCACUGAGAGACCCCGGAGAAAAAGCAUCGGCUAACUCCGUGCCAGCAGCCGCGGUAAUACGGGGGAUGCGAGCGUUAUCCGGAUUUAGUGGGUUAAAGGGGUGCUUAGGCGGUGCGUUAAGUCAGUGGUCAAAUUGAGGGGCUCAACCCCUUCCCGCCAUUGAAACUGGCGCUCUUGAGUGGAAGAGAAGUAUGCGGAAUGCGUGGUGUAGCGGUGAAAUGCAUAGAUAUCACGCAGAACCCCGAUUGCGAAGGCAGCAUGCCGGCUUCCGACUGACGCUGAAGCACGAAAGCGUGGGGAUCGAACAGGAUUAGAUACCCGAGUAGUC
rnacentral:rRNA from 1 species